rnacentral:rRNA from 1 species
UACGGAGGAUGCGAGCGUUAUCCGGAUUUAUUGGGUUUAAAGGGUGCGCAGGCGGAAUGUCAAGUCAGCGGUAAAAUUUCGGGGCUCAACCCCGUCGUGCCGUUGAAACUGGCGUUCUUGAGUGAGCGAGAAGUACGCGGAAUGCGCGGUGUAGCGGUGAAAUGCUUAGAUAUUACACAGAACACCGAUUGCGAAGGCAGCUUGCUAGGCCGGAUCUGACACUGAUGCACGAAAGCGUGGGGAUCGAACAGG